GAAAGCAGGACAAGGUAUUUGAAGUCAGAUGUACUGCCUGGUUGCAGAGAAGAACUCAGCUGGCAAGGGCUCAGGCUGCUGGCCCCAGUGGUACCUUCUAAGAGUUCCUGAUCAGUAUCUUGGAGAACUGGGAUCAUAGACCUCACCAUCAGUAACUGGAACACUUAUGAGAAACCAUGAAACAGCCGGGCAGCUCUGUAGCUGGGCGACUGCCACUCCCCUGGAACUCUUCAGAUGCUAGAACAGGACAUGCUGAUUUCACAGGCCACAUCUAUCUAAUUCUUCUGUUGAUGUUACUCUG